rnacentral:rRNA from 1 species
AUGGUGGAUGGUGCAGCGGUGGUGCUGGAUGAUGGAUGGAUGGAUGGUGAUAAUGAAGUGGUGCAGCAGCAGCUAGUCGUGGGGGGUGCUGUUGGCGCGGGGGCGCGCCGCCACGCCGUCCUGGCCGUAGCGGUGGCCGGAGGUGGAGAGGGAGUCGGGGGAGAGAGAUGGAGAUGCCAAGCCCAAAGGGGAUCGAUGGUUGCCGCUAGGGAUUUGAUCCCGUCCUCUGAUCUACCAGUUUUGUUCUUUUGCCCUUCCACUUCUCUUCUCUCUUCACAAGAUGAUCCCUCCAACUUUAGCUUUACCCCUCUGGUUACUUAUUUUCUUCACGGCCGGGUCCCUCCGUAA